CUAAAUGCAGUCGCCAGAUGUAAAAAGCUAAAGUGUAAACGAACUACACCAGCACUAAGCUUCCGACAAUGUUUACCUUUUCAGCGUGAUGACGCGCAAACAGCUGCAAACAUAUCAUGAGUGAGCGUUUUGGCCGACUAGUGAUGUCACUCCUGCCCCACUCUCUGGAUAACGUCGAGAUGUGGUUUCCAACAUUCUUCAAAAUAUCUUCUUUUGUGUUCAGCUGAAGAAAGAAACCCAUACAGGUUUGGAACAGCAUGAGGCGCUGGUCCGCAGGCUGUCAUCUUCUGCUGUAUCUGUGCUUUUGUGCUGAUGGUACACUGCAUCUGGUCAAGCAGUAACAACGGCUUCUAACUUUAGAAGAAUCGUGAACCGCCCUCAUGACCUUCCAGACCUUUGAAUAAU